GACGAACCGUGCGAACGUUGUUCGGAAUCACUGGGCUUAAAGGGCGCGUAGGCGGCCCACCAAGUCAGGGGUGAAAUCCUCCAGCUCAACUGGAGAAGUGCCUUUGAUACUGGUGGGCUCGAGCGAGGUAGGGGCAGAUGGAACUUCCGGUGGAGCGGUGAAAUGCGUUGAUAUCGGAAGGAACGCCGGUGGCGAAAGCGAUCUGCUGGACCUCUUCUGACGCUGAGGCGCGAAAGCUAGGGUAGCGAACGGG
rnacentral:rRNA from 1 species